CAAAGCUCUGAGUAGGGGGCCCUGGCUGAAGGAUCGCUGGAAUGCGGUGUGGAAAGGAAUCUCUACUGUCCUAUUGUUCCCUUAUUUCCUCGGUCUCAUCACAUGCCGGCACGUCCAGUUCACUUACAGGUUACUCUCCAGGCAGCUCCCAAGACUCGCGAAGUGACCCGCAGCCCGAAGCAGCACUGUGCACACCAGUGUGCGUGCAAUGAAUCCGACCACGCACGGGGGAUUUUUCACCUCCGAUGGGUUACACGAGAGCGCCCACUACAUGCAGCGUGCACGUCCGCGACUUGGAAACUUCUACCAUCGGCUUCUCGCUCAACUUUUUUUAACUCCAGACUUUGCGCGUGACAUCGUUCAAACUCCUGGAUGUUUUUUUUUUCUAUCCUUCAACCUCUCAAUUUUUGUAUGAUUUAAUAGAUGCCCGACCUAUAUAUCGCGGGAAGAAAUUUAAUCUCAAAAGAAGCUAUUGGUAACAGCGGUGAUGAGAUCAGAUGACAUGUUUUAAAAGUAGAAAAAAGGGAUGUUGCACCUACUUGUGGCCAGUUUCCGUGCCCUGCCUUUGGACCUCAUGGUGCCAGUCUUUCGGCGUGGGUUUGUUUGGAUUUUUUUUUUCUCGGAUCCCCUUUUCUCCCUUUUUGCUGUUUUCCCCUCUCUACUACGUUUUUUUUUUCCUCUAGGUUUCUCAAUCCCAGACGCGCUAUCUCUCCAGCAUUGUCAAUCCGGACACCUUCGCACAUGCGCACUAGCCUCCAAGGUCUGCGGGCUGCACGUGCCAGACAAAGUUUUGGGAGAUUGAUCGUUUUGGGGAUGAACCUGACGUGGUCAAGAUGCAAGUUGUGGAUGGUUUGUCACUUUUUUUCCACACUUUAGCUGAGCGGAAGCUUUUCAGUCUGUUAAAAGAAAACUGUCACGUUGUUAACUCCCGUUUUGAGGUUUAUUUAAUGCACCGGACAGUUCAGUUUUCCCCUCAAAAUGCGGCACUUUCAGGAAGCAGUGGGCAACUCUAUACUGUUAUUCGGCGUGGUAAAAUGUAUUGUGCUUUUGUGCAUUAUAAAUAAAGCAAAAUUAUUUUU